ACGGGCUGGUCGGGUCGACCGCGACCACCGCCACCGUGUGACCCGCCUGCCGAUAGGCCUGAACCAGUUGCUCGGUGAUGGUGGACUUGCCGGCACCCGGGGGACCGGUGAUGCCGAUCCGCCGGGCCCGGCCCAGCGUGGGAUGGAUCGAAGUGAGCAGGUCUUCAAACCCGGAACGACCAUUCUCCACGAUCGAAAUGGCCCGUGCGAUCGCCGGGGCCCUCCGGGCCCGCAGAUCGUCCAGGAGUGU
rnacentral:rRNA from 1 species